UGGGCUGGCCGGGCGACCGCGUUGCGUCGAGAGAUCGGUGCACCGAGGAAGGUCCGGGCUCCACAGAGCAGGGUGGUGGGUAACACCCACCCGGGGUGACCCGCGGGACAGUGCCACAGAGAACAGACCGCCACUCCGGUCUCACGACAGGAGCGGUAAGGGUGAAACGGUGGAGCAAGAGACCACCAGCACGCCGGGUGACCGGCGUGGCUCGGCAAACCCCGCCCGGAGCAAGAUCAGACAGUGCACGACGGUCUCGACCGAGAGGGCUGCUCGCCCGAGUGCACGGGUAGAUCGCUGGAGGCGACCGGCAACGGUCGUCGUAGAUGGAUGGUCGCCCUCGCUCCUCACGGAGUGGGACAGAACCCGGCCUACAGGCCAGCCCGUCCG
rnacentral:RNase_P_RNA from 2 species